GAGGCGGGAGGCUGAGAUGGGCGAUCUGGAGGGGCCGGCUGUGGGUCUCCAAGCAUUUCUUGUAAUGGCGUCGCACUACAAAGCUGGACGUGAUGCAGCAGCUGGGCCCAACCUGCCUCACCAAUUAGUGGCUGUGUGGGUGCUCCUGCCUACACACCUUCACCUUUCCACAGGCCGUGACCCACAGAUGCAUUGUGACCUGCUGUAACACCCAGGAGCUUUCGUAAAGAACUGCCACCACAGCCAUUUCUUCCCAACCCUAAAUCUCUGCUCUUUAUUACUUCUGUUAAGGUGUGAAAGUAUGCAAUUGAGUUUAAGGAACUGCAUCUUCAGGCGAUUGAUCUACUUGCCUAACCAACUGUUAAUUGAGGUUGCUUUUUAUUCUGUUAUUCUCCUCCAGUGGUCUUGCAGCCCCCUCUAGAAGCAUUAGGUAUCAUCUGUGAACAUCAGAGGCACUCUCUAUAGUCAGUUACCACAAUGUAGUUCAUGUUUGCAGUAAUAACAGGUUUGGGGUUUAUUUUCCCACGAUGUAAGAGACCUUUAGCCAAAGCAGUCCUCUCUGUGAACCAUAAAUGCAGUCCUGAAGGAGAGCCUAACUAAAACUCUUUCAGGAAAUGGAACCAGUGGAAACAUGGAGUCUUUUAAAUCAGUGACUUGGAUUCUGUGUCCAAUAGCAGAGCUGAAGUACGAUUUGCUCCAGGAAGUUCCUCUUAUAAAAAGAACACUGUAAUAAUGUAAUGAUCUGUGUAGUAUCCUCAGACUGCUGUUAUCGCCCGUGUGCUUCAGAAUCUGAAAAUAAAAAUGAAUGUGAAGCUUUCUGUAUUUAGGGAAGAAACAAAAGCAAAACAACAACAUUAAAAUACACGUUCAGUAAUGGGAUCCUUUUGUUGAAAACAUGCCCAGUCUGUUCUUCCUUGCACAAGUUCGUAAAUACUUUGUAUUCCUCCAAGCAUUGCCACUGUGGUUUGCUGUAACAGGAAAAGAAAUCAUGUUUGUUAAAUUGAGCUUUCCUGCUUUCAGAUUUUUUUCAGCAAAAAUAAUCUCUAAGUCAGAACAUCAGCUUCAUGAAACUGGCUGGGCUUAAAUGCCUCCCUGCUGAGAGUUACUAGGCAACAUCUCAUUUGGCUUCACCUAUAACAGGCUGUUUCCAUUCUCCCUGGCUCUGUUGCCUCAGUAAUAAAAAGGGUGUGUUCACU
rnacentral:lncRNA from 7 species